CCUCGAAGCAUGUCAAGCCCUGAACCUUAACAAGGCAAUUCUACCAACAAGGAAUUUGCCCAUGGGCAUCACUUAGAUCGUGUUUGUGAGUUGUUGUCUCUUUAAUGGAAUAAAUCUCCCUUCCGGCUAAUUUGGCUCUAAAGGAUGCAAUGAUCUAACAACAUAUGAACAGAAAGAGCAUCCUUCCUUCAGAUAUCUUUUACAUAUAUGUGAUGCAAAAUGCAGAAUAACUCCAUUCUCAAAUUAUCUUAAUGAAGGAGGAAGAUGAUGACAAUUUCUAAGGGUAUGCUGCUUCAAGUAAUUUUAUAGUUUCCAUGGACUGUCCAGGAGUAUCUCUUAUGUCACCUUUUUCAGCUAUGUGUAGGCUGAACAGAGCAAAUAUUUUAUGUUGUCUUGUAGCAGAGGAGUCACAAUGUCUGGACAAGUCCAGUCUUAGUAUUUGGGAAAGAAGCUUGUUUAGGAUUGUUUUUAACCCAGCUGAAUAGAGUCCAUUUAAAAUUGGAACCAUUGCUGACUAUUUAUAUAACUCAUUUCAAGGGUAGCUCCAGGGAGAGAGAGAAUAAUAGAUCUAACUUCUGAAAAUUAAAUUACAGUGCAUGAACAAGAAAGGAGAAAUGUUACACUGAACAGCCAGGAACAGGUGGAUGGCUCUGGUAAUGGAACAGGAGCUAAUGAUGCACCUGAGGCUGACUCAGCCCCUGCAGAACAGGGAGCAGCAGUGGCGGGAACUUCACUUUCAGAUGCACAGCAAGGAGUUGUCAUUAGUUGUCCCAUUUGCAUGGAUUCUUACUCAGAGAUUUUGCAAAGUGGACGACUGAUUGUGGCAACCAUGUGUGGCCAUGUCUUCUGCAGCGAGUGCCUCCCUGUUGCCGUGGAGACUAUCGGCGUGUGCCCAACCUGCAGGGUGGAACUUACUCCAGAUCUGUACCAUCCCAUUUAUAUAUGAGUGCUUCUGCUUCUCAGGACCGACUCAGAUGGAUCUUGGACUAUAGGGAGUGUAGAUACUUGUUUCUUUAUGUAUAUAGUUCUUCCUGUAUAUAGUUUCAUUUUUGAUCAAUUCAUUGUUAAAUAAAGUUUUGAAUAGUUGAAAUAUA